GGGGGCGAACUGGAUUCGACGGAGACAAUGAGACAGAGGUUGCAUGUCGAGGUCCCACCCACCUCGGUAAAAAGGUGGACUCAAGUAAGUGCAGAACAACUGCCUGUUGCUGCCUAACAUGUAGGCAUGCCGUCUCUCUUGUGCUCUCCUGCGGUACUUGAGAGGCGUCGACGAGUAGGAUAGCGAGUCAUGUUUGUCUUGAGCAUGGCAAGCGAAACACUGUCAGGGCUGGUUUCAAGGAACCUUUCCUCUUCAGGACCUUAGAACGAGAAUGAGGAAGAGGAUAAACAUGUAGAUGCCUCGAGUUGAAUGUCUUCGGACGCGGGUUCGAUUCCCGCCGCCUCCAAAA
rnacentral:tmRNA from 1 species